GCUUUCUCCUCGGUCUGCAGAUACAGAGCUUAAGAUACCACUAAUUCUGAGAUGUUUUCUUCUCCAUCUGCAGAAGAGAAAUGAGUUUAAAGACAGCGCUUAAGGUACCACUAAUUCUGAGAUGUUUUUCUCUCCAUCUGCAGAAGAGAACUGAGUUUAAAGACAGAGCUUAAGAUACCACCAAUUCUAAGAUGCUUUCCUUUCCAUCUGGAGAAGAGAAAUGAGUUUAAAGACAGCGCUUAAGAUGAGAAACAAUCAGGACCAGCUAACACCUGCCAACCAAGGAUUCCCUCAGUUCAGCUGAAUAAAAGGCUUCUUGGAGAAACACAUGGAAAACAAAGAAGGUACAUAAGCAGUGACUGCAGCACUAUGAAAUUAAAGACAAUUCAAUCCAACUAUGGAAGAACAGAUGGCUGGCUAUGGAAGCAACAGAAGAGGCUCCCCUUUGCAAUGAGCAUCCACCACUGGAUAGUAAAUUUAUAAGAAUUUUUUUACUAGUAAAACUUGAAAGCUGAUCAUAAAACACAAGGAAAAGGAUGUAGAACAAGCCUGAUGUUCACUUCCCCCUCCUGCUUGCCUGUCAACUGAUGAAGCCAAGUGUCACCUUACAGACAACUUAAUCCCUUUGGUCAUGCUUCUCCCUUAAGCCAAGGCCACUUGGACUGCAACAGAAGUUUGACAGCUUUGGCUACGUCAACAUCACACCUUGCACAGACAUUGACUCUGGGGAUGGUUAAUUGACCCCAGCAUGGGACCCCUGCACCUGGAACUCCCCCAGACCUCCCUGCUCUGAUGGAUGUUUUGAUCUCUGUAUUUUCCACAAGUUUCUUUACUACAUCAGGCAGAUUGACUUGAUUUUAUCUGGAAAGGUGCCUCUGUUUUCAGUGUAGCUUGCAAAAAUAAGUAAAAUAAAUAACGUACAGCAAAGUAAGCUUUCCUACCUGUUCUUUCUUCCUCCAGACAUAAGCUGGUCCCUGGCCCCUUCACCAAUAUCAUAACUCUGAAGCCAGCAGCUGCCCGCAUUUACCUAGAGAUGUUAAAUCCAGCAGGAAAUGCCAUCACACUUACAAA
rnacentral:lncRNA from 1 species